rnacentral:rRNA from 1 species
CUGACGAGCACGCCGCGUGAGUGAUGACGGCCUUCGGGUUGUAAAGCUCUGUUAAUCGGGACGAAAGGCCUUCUUGCGAAUAGUGAGAAGGAUUGACGGUACCGGAAUAGAAAGCCACGGCUAACUACGUGCCAGCAGCCGCGGUAAUACGUAGGUGGCAAGCGUUGUCCGGAAUUAUUGGGCGUAAAGCGCGCGCAGGCGGAUAGGUCAGUCUGUCUUAAAAGUUCGGGGCUUAACCCCGUGAUGGGAUGGAAACUGCCAAUCUAGAGUAUCGGAGAGGAAAGUGGAAUUCCUAGUGUAGCGGUGAAAUGCGUAGAUAUUAGGAAGAACACCAGUGGCGAAGGCGACUUUCUGGACGAAAACUGACGCUGAGGCGCGAAAGCCAGGGGAGCGAACG